rnacentral:rRNA from 1 species
CCUCCUUUUGUCCUCCUUUCUGCCUCUUGGUCCAUGGGCGGACGCCUGCACCAGCCAAGUCGCGUGAGGGAAUAAGGCCCUACGGGUCGUAAACCUCUUUUGCCGGGGAGCAAGGGCCGGGACGCGUCCCGGCCCGGAGAGUACCCGGAGAAAAAGCAUCGGCUAACUCCGUGCCAGCAGCCGCGGUAAUAAGGAGGAUGCGAGCGUUAUACGGAUUUAUUGGGUUUAAAGGGUGCGUAGGCGGGCUUUUAAGUCAGCGGUAAAAAUUAGGGGCUCAACCCCGUCCGGCCGUUGAAACUGGGGGCCUUGAGUGGGCGAGAAGAAGGCGGAAUGCGUGGUGGAGCGGUGAAAUGCAUAGAUAUCACGCAGAACCCCGAUUGCGAAGGCAGCCUUCCGGCGCCCUACUGACGCUGAGGCACGAAAGUGCGGGGAUCGAACAGGAUUAGAUACCCGAGUAGUC